CCCCUCUCAGGGUCACACCUGGAGAGUUCCCAGUACUCUACCCGUCUCAACUACAGGAAGGGGAGUCAGGCAGAGGCUUACCCAUUCCAUUCCUAGCUUGGGCAGUGGCUAGUGAAUGGAAGGCAGUCUGCUACAAGU